ACCUUCAUCGUAAGGGGAGUAGCUUUUCGGAUAAUUGUCAACAUACGGUGCCUGAGGCAUCUGGCAUUAUCAUUGGUAUAUUACCAAUAGUGAGACCUUCGGUAUGUAU
rnacentral:misc_RNA from 1 species